CAAGGGUUUCAAAACCCUAAUAGCCGCCUCAAAGACUCUCUCUCUCAUCGUCACCAUGCCAAAAAUGGCAACGAUGCAGAGUACUCUGUUCACUUUAGUCUGUGCAUGGUCGAAAAAGGCAAAGCAUUAAUUUCUUUGACCUCUCUUUUGCCCUUAUCACCGCAGAACCACCUUCAAAGAGUUUCAGAAAUCUUUGGAUUUGUUUAUGGUUUAUGUGGCUGUGAGAUGUGAAGGAGAAGGAAGAGCUCUCAAACUCCAUUCUCGAAAAGGCUACCACUGCAAAAGUUGAAGUUGAAGUUGACCCCCAGUUAAUGGAUCUAAUCCUCCAUGAAAAGCAAGAAAAUCCGCAUAUUUUGACCAAUUCAAGGUGAAAAAUGGGGUUGCUCCCUCGGCAAAAUUGGGAGAAAAUUGAGCCAAAAGAUCUCGAUUCAAGAUAAAUUCGUGAGGAAGUGGUAUCUCUUUAGGAUCUACUCCAGCGUUUAGAAAUUGGUUAUUCGGUAAAGAUACAUGUACUUGAUGCCCCACCCAAGAGAGAGACCCAAGUCCUAGUAGCCCUGCAAAAUGGUGAUUCAUCAUAGAUUCUACAUCUUGAAACCACAAAAUUUCAUAAUUAAAUACCGUUGUGGUUAUAAUUUUUGCAAAGAAUAUUUGAUUGUUUGAAUGUAUUGAAAGUGAAAAUAAUUUUUUUGGUGUUUUUCAAAUUCUAAAUACAACUUCUAUUUGGAAUUUCCAUGGCCAAACGUUGAUUCCAAAUAAAGUGAAAACGUUUUCCGAAAAAAGUGAAAAAUUUUCAUGGCCAAACGGGCCCUAAGUUUGGAGUGAGCUGCGAUACUUUUUUUGAUCAUAUUGUCUAUUCUCUUCUUCCCCUUUCAUUAUUGGACAUGUUAUAAUACAUCUUGUAUACAUGAUAUACCCUCUUUAUAUACCUCAGUAUAUAUUAAGCCGUAUAUCAUGUAUACCCAUAGUAUAUCGUGAUGACUUUGAGGAAUUAAAACUAUGCUUUAAUUGAUUUGGCCAUCUCUUUUAACAUUGUCAUUUCACAACUGAUCUGGGCCUUUUCUUGCUUUUCUCUCCAUUUAGGCGUUUACUUGUUUUUCUUUUGAAUGUGGGCUUUCUGUCAUGUCUUUUUGUUUCCUUUGAAUCUAUUUGGGCUUUGUGUUUGGUACAUACGGUCUGAUGUAUAUGAAUGUACAAGUGAGACACAACUUUUAUGUGUAAUUGCAUGUGUGCGAUUUAUUUUCCUUCUUAUAUAGUCGCUAAGUUUAGAUGCUUUCUAACCAUACUUCCUUUUUUCCCCUCCUCUUUUGCAUGGAACCACCACUGUUUGGGCCAGUUUUUUAUGAGCAAAUUGUUGGGCCUCUGGCCCAACAUCCUUCUUUGAUCGAGUCUGAACCAAGAAGGCCCAACCAUAGGUGAAAAUGACAAUUGGUGGGCUCGGUAGACCCACCAGACUAACUUCCGCUUUCACUUCGUGUAUAUAUAUAUAUAUAUAUAUAUA